rnacentral:rRNA from 1 species
UACGUAGGGGGCUAGCGUUGUCCGGAAUCAUUGGGCGUAAAGAGCGCGUAGGCGGCCAGAUAAGUCCGGUGUGAAAGUCAGAGGCUCAACCUUUGAAUGCCGCUGGAAACUGUCUGGCUAGAGUCCGGAAGGGGCGAGUGGAAUUCCUGGUGUAGCGGUGAAAUGCGCAGAUAUCAGGAGGAACACCAAUGGCGAAGGCAGCUCGCUGGAACGGUACUGACGCUGAGACGCGAAAGCGUGGGGAGCAAACAGG